CGCACAUUGCGCCCAUUAGUAUUCUAGUGGGCAUGCCUGUUCGAGCGUCAUUUCAACCCUUAAGCCUAGCUUAGUGUUGGGAAUCUACUUCUCUUAGGAGUUGUAGUUCCUGAAAUACAACGGCGGAUUUGUAGUAUCCUCUGAGCGUAGUAAUUUUUUUCUCGCUUUUGUUAGGUGCUAUAACUCCCAGCCGCUAAACCCCCAAUUUUUUGUGGUUGACCUCGGAUCAGGUAGGAAUACCCGCUGAACUUAA
rnacentral:misc_RNA from 1 species